UCCUGCACACGUUUCUGUACGUGUUUUUUAGGUCGGAAACAAGCGACAGUGCUGAGACUCUUAAAACAUAACCCCUUAGUUUGUGUGUUUGGGGAGACGGAGCUUGUUCAAGGGUGAACGUGUCUUGCUCUGCAUCAAUAUUUAGCCUGAAACUUUGAGUUGACAUCCAGACAGACAGGUCCACAGAAUAAUAUAUUGGUUAGUUGGUUUUACUGGGUAGAAUGUGGAAAAGUGCAUUCAGGUUUGUUGUGCUUUUGGGACUGCAGGGAAUGUACACAGCCAUUGAGGAAACUCUCUAUUUUGUGCUCUCAGAAAUGUCAAAUUCCACUCCUAUAUGCACCUACCCAUCAUUUGAGGAAAUGCUUGCUGUCAAUUGUGAGAUACAUACAGUGAAUAAUUUGACAUAUGGAUGUGCAAUUGCGUAUCGAUUUGACAUUAAUAAAAUACACACAAGUUGUGUCUCCAGAGUCACCAUGCACGUAGAGAAGGAAAGAACAUUUUUACACUUCAUACAUCCAACAGCAUCUGAUGAAGGGAACUACAAAUGUCAGUGUAUCUUUCAUGGAGGAACAAAUUUCACAAAUAUCAGUGUUUCUUACAAAGAAUCUCAUGCGUCUAUGACUGAAGAAGGCCCCUACUACCCUAAUGUGACGGUGAUGAUGGGAGGUUUGGCAGUGACCAUGGUUGCUGUUGUACUUGUUGGAGUAACUCUGAAGAAAAUACAUCUCUGGAAACUUCACCAGCAAAACUGUGUCCCUUCCAAAGAGUUUCACGUAAAACAUGAUGUCUUUAUGAACUCAAAUGAAUUCACAGCACUUCGGUAUAGGGUAUCAAUGAUUAUGCCUUUAAAUGUCCAUGAAUACAGUACCAGUCAAAAGUUUGGACACAUUUUCCCAAAAUGUGUCCAAACUUUUGACUGGUACUGUACAUAAAAUGUGUUUAUUCUAAGUCAUGUUGGUUGAUUGCUCAGUGAGACUGCUUUGCUUGUGUCUUUUAGAAGGUGCAGGAUAUUGAGCCAACGAGCCGUACAACACAUUCAUAUUGAGAACCAAUGGGCUGUACUCAACUGCCCAGCUGGUCAUCCAGUUGAACUCCCUGUGCUGAUGAUGACGACUGACUUAUACUAUACACACUGGUCACAACUCUUUUUGACUCUUACCAUAGUCUGCUUCCCAACCACUUUCCAGUAACAUUACUUCUUUGGCUCUCUUCCAACUUCAUUACUUAUCAAUAUUGGUUUCCGCCCCACUCCCCCCCCCCCCCCCCCACCCACUCAAUAAUCAAUAUUUCUGAUAAUCACAGAAUCAUGUUGCACCUAAAUUGUUUACUGUGACAUGUGUAAUUAACAAAUACAAUGUUGUCUCAUUUAUUAUUAAUAAAAGUGACUUUGCACCCUUCAUCUGAGUUACCAAGAACAUGUGCACAUGUGGUUUCCUAAUGUUGCUAAAACUGAAAAUAAACGUUGAGCAGUGAAUAGUAGUUGCCAGGGCUGCACAGCUAUCUACCCCAUUGUCAUAUACUUAUAGAGCCCACAGACCCACAGACUCCUCAAUACAUCAAAUACCACUUCCUCCUGCACAAGUUUCUGUACGUGUUUUUUAGGUCGGAAACAAGCGACAGUGCUGAGACUCUUAAAACAUAACCCCUUAGUUUGUGUGUUUGGGGAGACGGAGCUUGUUCAAGGGUGAACGUGUCUUGCUCUGCAUCAAUAUUUAGCCUGAAACUUUGAGUUGACAUCCAGACAGACAGGUCCACAGAAUAAUAUAUUGGUUAGUUGGUUUUACUGGGUAGAAUGUGGAAAAGUGCAUUCAGGUUUGUUGUGCUUUUGGGACUGCAGGGAAUGUACACAGCCAUUGAGGAAACUCUCUAUUUUGUGCUCUCAGAAAUGUCAAAUUCCACUCCUAUAUGCACCCACCUAUCAUUUGAGGAAAUGCUUGCUGUCAAUUGUGAGAUACAUACAGUGAAUAAUUUGACAUAUGGAUGUGCAAUUUCGUAUCGAUUUGACAUUAAUAAAAUACACACAAGUUGUGUCUCCAGAGUCACCAUGCACGUAGAGAAGGAAAGAACAUUUUUACACUUCAUACAUCCAACAGCAUCUGAUGAAGGGAACUACAAAUGUCAGUGUGUCUUUCAUGGAGGAACAAAUUUCACAAAUAUCAGUGUUUCUUACAAAGAAUUUCAUGCAUCUAUGACUGAAGAAGGCCCCUACCCUAAUGUGAUGAUGAUGAUGAUGAUGAUGGGAGGCUUGGCAGUGACCAUGGUUGCUGUUGUCUUUGUUGGAGUAACUCUGAAGAAAAUACAUCUCUGGAAACUUCACCAGCAAAACUGUGUCCCUUCCACUGAGUUUCAAGUAAAACAUGAUGUCUUUAUGAGCUCAAGAGGUGCAAGAUAUUGAGCCGUACAGCACAUUCAUACAGACAACCAAUGGGCUGUACUCAACUGUCCAACUGGACUUUCCCUGUGCUGAUGAUGACUGACUGAUACAAGAUACACACUGGUCACAACUCUUUUAGACUCUUAGCAUGGUCCACUUCACUGGUUUGGGACACACUAUGUUCAGGAGAAUGGGAAAGUCUACAGCACAUUCUUGUGAUUAUUGUGUACCAAAUUACUCCAGUAUCAAUACUCGCCACCAGAUGUCAGUCUCAUACAUUUUACAUUAAAAACUAUUCUGCUGAUUCUAAGCUACAUACAAAUUGAAUAUAUUGAAAGUGCAGCAGAAAGUCAAAGAUCAGAACAGCAUAGUUCAGUAGUCAGUGUCAAGGAACGACCUGUAUUUUCCUGGCACAUAAAUUGUGGUGUGGCCUCUCCUGCUACUGUAGCUUUGUGAGUUGAGUCACAGAAUCACUUCCUUCUUUCAGAUGGGAAUUUAUAUACUAAACUUUGUAUUGCCAGUAACAUUACUUCUUUGUCUCUCUUCCAAUCCCCCCCCCCCUCCCCACACACACACACACACACACACAAACACACACAAUAAACUUCUCUCCACAUACCCUUGAGAAUUCUCUUGACCACAAAAUGGCAAGCCCUUGAGAAGAGCAAUAGAAAUGAAAGUGAAAUUUCAGGUUGACCAGCUAACCACGAUUUAUUAUUCUGGGUGGUCAGUGGGUUGUCACUUAAAUAUACUAACUAACUACGCUACAUAACAUUUCUCAUAUCAUAAAACAUGCGUUAGGGUCGGAUAAACUUGUCGACAGAAAUUGUGUAAAUCAGAUGUUUUUAUUCUGUUUGGUGGGUGUUUUUUCAGAUUGAAUUGUCUGUCAAUGAGACAUCCAAUAGAGGAUUAGGUAAAUUAGAAAUGUGUUUUAUCGAGGUGCAAAGCAAAAUGACGUAUACUCUCCUGCCAACGCUGGCAUCAAUGGUUCUGCCUUCAAUAAAUUUACAAAUAAUUUGGACAUCA